GGGGAAAAGAAACCAACAGGGAUUGCCUCAGUAACGGCGAGUGAAGCGGCAAGAGCUCAAAUUUGAAAUCUGGAGCCUUCGGCUUCCGAGUUGUAAUUUGAAGAGGAUGUUUCGGUUGCGGCCUGGGCCUAAGUUCCUUGGAACAGGACGUCAUGGAGGGUGAGAAUCCCGUACAUGGCUGCAGGCUUGCUUCCAUGUGAAACUCCUUCGAAGAGUCGAGUUGUUUGGGAAUGCAGCUCAAAAUGGGUGGUAAAUUUCAUCUAAAGCUAAAUAUUGGCGGGAGACCGAUAGCGCACAAGUAGAGUGAUCGAAAGAUGAAAAGCACUUUGAAAAGAGAGUUAAACAGUACGUGAAAUUGUUGAAAGGGAAGCGCUUGCAAUCAGACUCGCUUUCGGUUGAUCAACGUUCCUUUUGGUUCGUGCACUCUGCCGUUGGCGGGCCAGCAUCAGUUGAGGCGGCGGGACAAAGGUAGCGGGAAUGUGGCUCCCUCGCGGGAGUGUUAUAGCCCGUUGCGCCAUGCCGCCAGCUUCGACUGAGGUCCGCGAUUUAUCUAGGAUGCUGGCUUAAUGGUUGUAAGCGACCCGUCUUGAAACACGGACCAAGGAGUCUAACAUCUAUGCGAGUCUUUGGGUGUCAAACCCAUGGGCGGAAUGAAAGUGAACGGAGGUGGGAGUCCUCGGAUGCACCAUCGACCGAUCCUGAUGUCUUCGGAUGGAUUUGAGUAUGAGCAUAGCUGUUGGGACCCGAAAGAUGGUGAACUAUGCCUGAAUAGGGUGAAGCCAGAGGAAACUCUGGUGGAGGCUCGCAGCGGUUCUGACGUGCAAAUCGAUCGUCAAAUUUGGGUAUAGGGGCGAAAGACUAAUCGAACCAUCUAGUAGCUGGUUCCUGCC
rnacentral:rRNA from 1 species